AUAAAACAUAGAGAGGACGAAACACAGACGACUACAUUCUUUCAAAAGAAUGUAGUCGUCUGUGUUUCGUCCUCUCUAUGUUUUAU
rnacentral:pre_miRNA from 1 species